GUUUAAACCAAUUUGUGGAUGCAUGUGCAUCAUAAUGGAUAUCACAUUGGACUUUUCCAGUGCAUCAAAGCAUAACAUGAAUGCAUAUGAGGAUAAAAGUCAUCUCUCUUUUAGUUGGAAAAAUAUGAAUUGGCAAAGUACUGCAUUUUCUGUUGUUUUAGCUUCCCAUUUGUUAGAUUUGUGAGUAGCAGUGUAAUGCAGGAUUUAUCAUUAUAGUUAGAUUUCAAGAGAAAGAUGAUAUAGUUCUCUGAUGGACUUUUGUUAUUGUUAUCUAUGUGAUAUGGGAAAUACAAGAAAAAAUUAAGGCAGAAGCAACCCAUCUUCUUUUAGGAGCCUACGUAGUAGGUCUUCGUCUUAUAACUUACAUAGUUCAACUUCAUUCUUUCAAAUGACAGAUUUUAGUCUGUUCCGGAGUCAAUUUGUUGCCAUCACUAUUACCUUUUCAAGCUUUCAAAAGUGAUAAAUUGGUUUGUAUUUGGUUGUUGGGCGUGAUUUUGACAAAAUUCCCGCACAGGGGUAGGACAAAUCAAAGAACAACCUCCUCCCAAUGAAGGCCCAACAAAACAAGAACAAUCCUCCAAACAGAGGCAGAAAGCUACGAUCUGAAAAAGAAAAAGAAACAACCAGUCAAUAACUGGUAACAAGUCACCCGAGUAGCCUACUGAGUCACACCGAGUCGCACCAUCACAGAUCAUCCCGAGGCCAAGGCUCCGUCUCCGUCAAGACCCCAGGGAUGUCGACCGCAAAACCCACCUCUGGCGACCACGAACCGCACA